rnacentral:lncRNA from 1 species
AGAGGUUGCCUUUCAAGGACAGGGAGCGACUCUGAGAUGGGGGAAUCCAAAGGCGAGGAGCACACGGCCUCCGCCUUCCUGGGGGGAGAGCCCUGACUUGCUCUUUCGCUCACCUCCCCCUCCUCCCCCUUCCGGAGACCAGACGCUCCACAGGCUGGUUGGAGCAAGAGUUAUGAGAGCCACAGGCAUCGAAGUGCAUGAAAACCUUUGCAAAGCACCCCUCCUUGUCUGCAUCCUCGGGUCUGAAAUCACAGCGUGCCAGGCCUUAAGCAAAUUAAGGGAACUUCUGUAACAUCUGUAAACCUCAAUGCUGUGAGUGAGUGAGCCUGAAAGUCUGUGCUGGCUCCUGGGCAGGGCUUGUCCUGGGCUUUUCUUACAGAGAAGAGAGCUGCUCUUUAUUUCCCAGCUUCAGUGGGCAGGAAGGAAUGCGCGGUCCACGAGCCCUCGGCCAUCAAGGGUGGACGCUGGUGUCUCCACCGCCGCGGGGUCUCCGGCCCACGCUGGAAAGGCAUUCCUCCAGCAGACAAAAUCGAAGCAUGCUGAGAGCUGGAGCGCUUUGUUUGCUUUCUAAAAUGAAUCCAACUCUUGCAAAGCUUGGAUUUAACCGGGUGUGCUCUGUCCCCGCACCGCAUUCCUCUCAGCCCGCCCUCCCCCUGCAACCCCAGGCCCCGCAUUACUCGAAUUCCUUUGAUGCGCUCAUCAGCGCCAGCUGGCGGCUGCCGGGGCUGGUCAGACGGGCCGGAUGCCCUGGGACAGGGCCUGCUGGACCUUCACCGGUCUCAGCUGAUGAGGGACACGAGGCAGGGAUCCUUGAAGGACUGGGUCAGCCGGGCCCUUUUCAGGCCCCAGGGGAGAAACGCAUCUCCAAACCCUAUUGCAGUGGUUACCCGGUGCCUCCAGUUAAGUGACUGUUUAGUGCUUAGAACACCCCCCACGACCCUCCCCCAUUCUUCCCCACCCACCCGCACCCUGGAGUCAGGCUGGAAGCAGGAGGUGGAAGAUGCCUUUUAGCAUCCGGAGAACCGUGAGGCUCCUGGGAAGACUGGAAACAGAGCACCCAGCCCCACCCGGGAACUUAGGGCAUGUGGUCUGGUCCGUAAGCCUCUCUGCUUAUUCCACCUAGAAGUUAGCAAAAGGCGGAGAGUGGGAGGGGGAUUGCAAAGCUCUGGCAUAGCACACGUGUUAUCGUCCUGGCACGUAGACAGUGAUGCUGGGUCCUAGCCCACGGGUGGUGAUGACAUGCAGGCAAAGACUUUUCAAAUUUAAGAAUAUACAAAAGAAGAACAAGAGUUGCCAAGAAGGAAAUGUGGUGCCCGUGUCCCUUCCUUUGAAUACAUGCUGUAUAGCAAUGUUACCAUGUUGCACCAUGAUGUCAGAAAGGGUCGAUGCCAUCUUCCAGCCAGUCAUGGAAUUCCUGUUUAUUUGGUCUUGGCAGAUCACCUUGACCUUGUAAAAACCCACAGUCCAAGUGUCUACCAGCAGAAGAGAUUUCCAUGGUAGUUUCACCUAACAGAUUGUUUAUUUGGACAAACUAGAGUGUGCAGUGACAGAACACCUCAGGGCUGGAGAAAACAGGAGGGAGCCUUUGCCAGGAGUCUGCACAAUUUUUCUGGUAAACUCCUUCUGUUCCACUGAACUUCAUUCCUUUGCUCAGCUGGAUGCAUAUAAAUAGCAGAAACUCUAUCUUCAACACAUUCAUGAAGAGAAAUAAACCUAAAUCUUUAUUGCUUGUUUCUCACUUUUCUUAUUUCACCCCAGAGUUACUCCCCCAGAUCCUUCAUAAAAUACUAAAGGCCAAGAUGGAGCCUCACAAAUGCUUGUCAUAUUUUACUAGAGUUGAGUGAAUUUACUUAACGUAUAAUUUAAUCUGUUUUGGGUUUUUUGUUCUUUGGUGGGGGGGAAGGUAGUAAUUAAAUAUUCCAAAGUUAUAAUAACAGUAGAUGUACGUAUAUAUAUAAAACAUCAGAAAUCUUGCAUGUGUUUCAUAAAUCAAGUCAAGGCAUUGCCCACAGUCACCCACUAGUAGGAGUCUUUGUAGGUUUUUGGUAGCACAUUCGUGGCACAGUGUUACAUGUGUUCCUGCAGGGUUUUAUCAAGGACUCAGAGGGGCCUAAGACACUCGACGUUAGCACUGCACCCUUGAGAAAAUUAAAAGCCACCCCAAAGAGCCUGGGAUGGAUGACAAAGAGAGGUAGGAGGGGGAGGGUGGUGGAUUUUUAAAAGGAUGGUGACAACGACACACUUAUAAACUUGACAGAGUGAAAAGGGGCAGUCAGACCUUGUAAAGUCUUCAUAGUGUGGGAAUCCACCGCGUUAGGCAACGAAGAGUCAUCUAGAGGAACCAUUUCUCAUCUGUUUAGGGCCCCACCCCACCCCAGGUGGCUCGUCAUGGAGUGAAAAUAAGAAAUAAGUCAGGGAGGAACCAAAUCAGAAGCAAUUUGGGGAUCAUGAGUCAACAAGUCGUUUUAGUAAACACCACCCUCCAUCUGCAGAAACAAAUAUGUGAAAACAGUGCUUUAACAACUCUUUCAGGAAAUAGGGCUUCUUCCUGGGGUAGUGCUGUGAAAAGCGGGGAAGAUGAGUGAGUGGGGUUUGGGUGGCCUUCAUGAGGUCUCUUGUGCCAAAAUAUGAAUGGAAGGAAAGUGAAUGAAAGCUCCCCUCCACCCCACAUGUGAAGAAUCAAGCAUCGGAGACUGUUCUGACCAUUUCUCUAAUAAGAGACUUUCAUUCAUUCCAAGAGUUGAACCAGCUCAACAGAUGCAAGAGGGCUCUUGCCUAGACUGAGAGGUGUUCAGCCACCUGCCUGCUGAAAAGUGACUUAUUUCUUCCACGUUGAGGUCAGUGAAGGCAGGGCGCUAGGACAAGACACAGGCCUUUGAGAAGACGCAGAUGAGAUGCAGUUACCUCUACAGGUGUAGACAGGGACUCAGCGGAAGGUGGUUCCUCUUACAGGCUGCUUAAAAUCUCCCCAUAGAGGAGGACCCUCAGGCGUGAAGCAGUACAAAGCUCUAAAUGACAAUCCCUGCGUGUAACACUGUAUGCAGCAUCCUAGGAGAUUCUCUGUCCAUGUAAGGAUUCCAAGGCCUCACACCAGGCCUACUGACUCCAACUCAGAGCAGGGAAGCUGAAGCUCUCACAACUGCUUUUUAGGGAGGCCAGAUUUGGGAAGCACAGACCUAGGCCACAGGUGAUGAGAGACACAGGGGAGUAGGAGUUGGGGGGCAGAGAUCAACAAUGGAGAGGUUUUCUAGGAAAGGUUCCAUGAGGGAGAUGGGGUGCAGACUGGGGGAACGAUGGGAUUUAGGAAAGCAGAGGAUGAAAGGAAGGCAGUGUAGACAAGAGAAACCACACCACACACACACACACACACAAGCUUGCAAGAACAAGUGAGUAAGGUAUGUGUGUCAGCAUGCACACUACUAGCCCUAGUCACGACUCGAGAACACACAGGCUUUUCUCAGGAAGGUUUAGUCCCACUAGGGUGGAAGUAAUAAUUUAUUGAACUGAAAAAUGGGGGCUCAGAUAACAAAGGCGCCCAGAGGAAGCCUGGCGGCCACGUGGCACACAGACCCUGGAACCAGAAAGCCUGGCAUGCUGGACCUGCUGUUCCCCAGCCUGGACCUCUGUGCAAGCUAUGGAACCUCUCCAAGUCUCAGUUUGGUGACGUAUAAAAUUAGAACACAACAACCUACCUCAUAGAGUUGUUAUAUUAGAUGAAUAUUGAAUGAAAUAAUGUCUGUGACUGCCUAGCACAGGGCCUGGCACCUGGGUUUCCAUUGAGACUGAAUGAGGCAGGGGUCCGAAGAUUGAAGGAAAAAAAUCUGGAUAGCUCAUCUUUGUCUGGGGAGGUUUCCAGAGACUUGUAGAAUUGGAAAGUUGUUGCUUCAGAUUAGUAAUUUUUUGGAAAUAAGUUUGGUAUAAUAAUAGAUUUUUUAAAAACUAGUAUCAAACUAGAAAUGGUGAAACAUGGCUUAGAACGGGUAUAUCCAGAGGGUCUUAUUGUGGCUCAGCGGGUUAAGAAUCCAACUAGUAUCCAUGAGGAUCUAUGUUCGAUUCCUGGCCUGGCUCAGUGGGUUAAGGAUCUGGUGUUGCUGUGGCUGUGGUGUAGGCUAGCAGCUACAACUCUGAUUCAACCCCUAGCCUGGGGACUUCCAUAUGCCAUGGGUGCAGCCCUAAAAAGCAAAAAAAAAAAAAAAAAAAAAAAAAAAA